rnacentral:rRNA from 1 species
AGAGUUUGAUCCUGGCUCAGAUUGAACGCUGGCGGCAUGCCUUACACAUGCAAGUCGAACGGCAGCACGGGAGCUUGCUCCUGGUGGCGAGUGGCGAACGGGUGAGUAAUAUAUCGGAACGUGCCCUAGAGUGGGGGAUAACUAGUCGAAAGAUUAGCUAAUACCGCAUACGAUCUAAGGAUGAAAGUGGGGGAUCGCAAGACCUCAUGCUCGUGGAGCGGCCGAUAUCUGAUUAGCUAGUUGGUGAGGUAAAGGCUCACCAAGGCGACGAUCAGUAGCUGGUCUGAGAGGACGACCAGCCACACUGGAACUGAGACACGGUCCAGACUCCUACGGGAGGCAGCAGUGGGGAAUUUUGGACAAUGGGCGAAAGCCUGAUCCAGCAAUGCCGCGUGAGUGAAGAAGGCCUUCGGGUUGUAAAGCUCUUUUGUCAGGGAAGAAACGGUAGAGGCUAAUAUCCUUUACUAAUGACGGUACCUGAAGAAUAAGCACCGGCUAACUACGUGCCAGCAGCCGCGGUAAUACGUAGGGUGCAAGCGUUAAUCGGAAUUACUGGGCGUAAAGCGUGCGCAGGCGGUUGUGCAAGACAGAUGUGAAAUCCCCGGGCUCAACCUGGGAAUUGCAUUUGUGACUGCACAGCUAGAGUGUGUCAGAGGGGGGUAGAAUUCCACGUGUAGCAGUGAAAUGCGUAGAUAUGUGGAGGAAUACCGAUGGCGAAGGCAGCCCCCUGGGAUAACACUGACGCUCAUGCACGAAAGCGUGGGGAGCAAACAGGAUUAGAUACCCUGGUAGUCCACGCCCUAAACGAUGUCUACUAGUUGUCGGGUCUUAAUUGACUUGGUAACGCAGCUAACGCGUGAAGUAGACCGCCUGGGGAGUACGGUCGCAAGAUU